UACGGAGGGAGCUAGCGUUGUUCGGAAUUACUGGGCGUAAAGCGCACGUAGGCGGCUUUGUAAGUUAGAGGUGAAAGCCUGGUGCUCAACAUCAGAACUGCCUUUAAAACUGCAUCGCUUGAAUCCAGGAGAGGUGAGUGGAAUUCCAGGUGUAGCGGUGAAAUGCGCAGAUAUCAGGAAGAACACCAAUGGCGAAAGCAGCUUUCUGGGAGGGUACUGACGCUGAGACGCGAAAGCGUGGGAGCGAACAGG
rnacentral:rRNA from 1 species